rnacentral:rRNA from 1 species
CCUACGGGAGGCAGCAGUAGGGAAUAUUGCUCAAUGGGGGAAACCCUGAAGCAGCAACGCCGCGUGGAGGAUGAAGGUUUUCGGAUUGUAAACUCCUUUUGUUAGAGAAGAUAAUGACGGUAUCUAACGAAUAAGCACCGGCUAACUCCGUGCCAGCAGCCGCGGUAAUACGGAGGGUGCAAGCGUUACUCGGAAUCACUGGGCGUAAAGAGCGCGUAGGCGGGGUAGCAAGUCAGAUGUGAAAUCCUAUGGCUUAACCAUAGAGGUGCAUUUGAAACUGUUAUUCUAGAGUAUGGGAGAGGUAGGUGGAAUUCUUGGUGUAGGGGUAAAAUGCGUAGAGAUCAAGAGGAAUACUCAUUGCGAAGGCGACCUGCUAGAACAUAACUGACGCUGAUGCGCGAAAGCGUGGGGAGCAAACAGGAUUAGAUACCCGAGUAGUC